rnacentral:rRNA from 1 species
CCUACGGUGUGCAGCAGUGGGGAAUAUUGGGCAAUGGGCGCAAGCCUGACCCAGCAACGCCGCGUGAAGGAAGAAGGCUUUCGGGUUGUAAACUUCUUUUAAGAGGGAAGAGCAGAAGACGGUACCUCUUGACUAAGCCACGGCUAACUACGUGCCAGCAGCCGCGGUAAUACGUAGGUGGCAAGCGUUAUCCGGCAUGACUGGGCGUAAAGGGUGCGUAGGUGGUUUAGUAAGUUGGCGGUGUAAUUCCGGGGCUCAACCUCGGCGCUACCGACAAAACUAUUAGACUAGAGUGCAGGAGGGGUAAGUGGAAUGCCUAGGGUAGCGGUGGAAUGCGUAGAUAUUAGGAGGAACAUCAGGGGCGAAGGCGACUUACUGGACUGUAACUGACACUGAGGCACGAAAGCGUGGGGAGCAAACAGGAUUAGAUACCCUUGUAGUC